rnacentral:rRNA from 1 species
CCUACGGGAGGCAGCAGUGAGGAAUAUUGGUCAAUGGACGCAAGUCUGAACCAGCCAUGUCGCGUGCAGGAAGACGGCCCUAUGAGUUGUAAACUUCUUUUGUAAGGGGGUAAACUCAGACACGUGUGCCUGUUUGAAAGUAUCUUAAGAAUAAGGAUCGGCUAACUCCGUGCCAGCAGCCGCGGUAAUACGGAGGAUUCAAGCGUUAUCCGGAUUUAUUGGGUUUAAAGGGUGCGUAGGCGGGGGGAUAAGUUAGGGGUGAAAUCCGGAGGCUCAACUUCGGAAUUGCCGUUGAUACUGUUGGUCUAGAGAGUAGUUGAGGUAGGCGGAAUGUGUGGUGUAGCGGUGAAAUGCUUAGAGAUCAUGCAGAACACCGAUUGCGAAGGCAGCUUACCAAGCUACUUCUGACGUUGAGGCACGAAAGCGUGGGUAGCAAACAGGAUUAGAUACCCCUGUAGUC